rnacentral:ncRNA from 2 species
UGAUCUGCGGCGGGAGAGUCCUGCAAAGCACGUGACGCAGGCGCCGUAGGAGCAAAUCCUCCCCAGGAAUCUCUCAGGCCCACGCACCGCCGCGGCUAG